rnacentral:rRNA from 1 species
UACGUAGGGGGCAAGCGUUGGUCCGGAUUUAUUGGGCGUAAAGAGCGUGUAGGCGGCCUUACAGGUCAGCUGUGAAAACUCGAGGCUCAACCUCGAGACGUCGGUUGAAACCGUAAGGCUAGAGUCCGGAAGAGGAGAGUGGAAUUCCCGGUGUAGCGGUGAAAUGCGCAGAUAUCGGGAAGAACACCCGUGGCGAAGGCGGCUCUCUGGGACGGUACUGACGCUGAGACGCGAAAGCGUGGGGAGCGAACAGG